rnacentral:lncRNA from 1 species
UCAGCAUCUGCAACCGACCGGCCGGCUCUUCCCCAACCGCGCUGCGCUCGCCUCGCCGCUCAACCCCAGCAGCGGAGCUGUGCCUCACCGCGACCCAGCCGUGCCACUAGUCACUGCCACUUCGCCGGUCGUCCAAGAUCGCCCGGCAUAGAUCCGACCAUCCGACGCCCCUGCUGCCGUGCCUCCUGCUGCCCUCCGCCCGAAGCUCCACCGCUGCAACCUGCGAGAUCUCGCACCGCCGCUCCACACCUCUGCCGGUAACCGUGCCUCCGCUAGUUUUCCCCUGCCGAUCCGCUGUAGCCCGACGUCGCUGCUCCUGCCUGAACCACGACUAGCCGCGACCGCCGCAUCUGCCAACCGAGCCCUCCGCCCGAGCGACGAGCCGCUACCCCUGAUCCGAGCCUGCUGCUGUCCUCGCUGCGCCAUCAGCUACUGCCCCAGCGAUCCCCUGUUUUGUUGCAGGUCUACCUUCGCCGGACCUCGCCAGAGCUCCGACGACCGUGCCCAUCACCCUCACCGGAGCCCUUGGGUGACCUACCACCGCAGCCGCUGCCCUUGCACCGUCCCUAGCCGUGCCGAGCCUCCAUCGUGAUCCACCUCACCGUUUGGGUCUUUGAAAAAAAAUUCAAUUUAGGUAGAGAUUUUUAUUUUAUUUUUUUAGGUGGACUUAUUUUAUUAGGUAGAUUUACUUUAUCUUAUUUUACUUUUGAUGUUUUAUUUCUUUGUUUGAUUAAUUUUCUAAUGCAUGAUCGAAAUUCCCUGAUGUAGCAUUCAAAUCGCAACCACACGAAUUUUUAUUCUAUCUGUAAAGUUUUAGAUGGAAUAAUUAUUCGCGGGAAUAAAAUUGAUAUAUUUAAAGUUUAAGGUCAAUUUAUCGAUAUCUUUAAG